rnacentral:rRNA from 1 species
GACGAACGCUGGCGGCGUGCUUAACACAUGCAAGUCGAACGGAAAGGCCCUGCUUUUGUGGGGUGCUCGAGUGGCGAACGGGUGAGUAACACGUGAGUAACCUGCCCUUGACUUUGGGAUAACUUCAGGAAACUGGGGCUAAUACCGGAUAGGAGCUCCUGCUGCAUGGUGGGGGUUGGAAAGUUUCGGCGGUUGGGGAUGGACUCGCGGCUUAUCAGCUUGUUGGUGGGGUAGUGGCUUACCAAGGCUUUGACGGGUAGCCGGCCUGAGAGGGUGACCGGACACAUUGGGACUGAGAUAAGGCCCAGACUCCUACGGGAGGCAGCAGUGGGGAAUAGUGCACAAGGGGCGGAAGCCUGAUGCAGCAACGCCGCGUGCGGGAUGACGGCCUUCGGGUUGUAAACCGAUUUCGCCUGUGACGAAGAGUGAGUGACGGUAAUGGGUAAAGAAGCACCGGCUAACUACGUG